rnacentral:lncRNA from 1 species
UGGUAGCAAGGAUCUGCGUGUGCAAAGGAGAGCAAAAGAUUUGGGAAGAAAACUUCAGAUCAAGCUCAACAGAAAAAUCCCCAAAUACAAACCCUAACCCUAACCCUAGCUCUAGCAACUGACCUGGACGACGCCUUCGUCAAAAGCUGAGUUGGUGUACUAGUAAGAAUUCUCGCUGUUGUACUCAUCAGUCGAGGACACCAAGGCGACACGGCGGUGGCGGCCGGAGAUGUGGGAUGAGGGGGCCGCGGCGCAAGAGUGGGAGCAGAUAAAGACAAGUCGAGCAAGAGAGAAUGAGGGCUGGGGGUGGGC